AUGGAGGGUGGCCGGGUGCUUACGGUUCUCCUCCUGGUGCUCCUGCUGGUCGGCCUCGCUGGCUCGAGCCCUCCGCCGGAGCCGGUGGUCUGUGCCCACGGCACGUCCGAUUGCACUGUCUCCAACGCGUACGGCUCCUUCCCGGACCGCACCGUCUGCCACGCCGCCAACGCCACCUUCCCGCGCACCGAGAAGGAGCUAGUCGCGGCCGUGGCGGUCGCUGUGGCGGCCAAGCGCAAGGUGAAGGUGGCCACCAAGCUCUCCCACAGCUUCCCCAAGCUGGCCUGCCCCGGCGGCCGCGACGGCACCAUCAUAAGCACGGAGCGGCUCAACCGGGUGGUAAGCGUCGACGUCGCCAAGGGGUUGAUGACGGUAGAAAGCGGCAUGGUGCUCCGCGACCUGAUCGAGGUGGCCGCCGAGGCAGGGUUGGCGCUGCCGCACUCGCCGUACUGGUCAGGGCUCACCAUCGGAGGCCUGCUGGCCACGGGCGCGCACGGCAGUUCGCUCAAGGGUAAGGGCGGCGCCGUGCACGAGUACGUGGUCGGGAUGAGGAUCGUCACGCCGGCACCGAGGAGCCAAGGGUUCGCGGUGGUACGGCAGCUCUGCGCCGACCAUCCUGACCUCGACGCGGCCAAGGUCUCCCUCGGCGUCCUGGGCGUCGUUUCCCAGGUUACACUGGCCUUGGAGCCGAUGUUCAAGCGGUCGGUGACGUUCGUGACACGCAAUGACUCUGACAUGGCAGAGCAGGCCGUCGUGUGGGGUGGCCUCCAUGAAUUUGGCGAUAUGGCGUGGCUGCCACAGCAGCGCAAUGUUAUUUACCGCAAGGACAAUCGCGUGGCCAUCACGUCAGUGGGUAACGACCUCAAUGACUACCUGGCCUUGCGAUCCAGUCCGACGGCCGACCUCAUCAGCGGCAGAGUCAUGCACGAGCUUCUUGAGAAGAAGAACAACACCGUCGCUCGGUGCAAGGAGGUACCCAUGUCUGUAUCGUUGUUUGAGAAGCCAGCAUACGGCUUUACAAACAACGACAGCUUGUUCAUGGGGUAUCCGGUGGUAGGAUUCCAGCACCGCAUCCAAGCAUCCGGUUCGUGUCUCGAAAACCCAGAAGACGCACUCCUCACUACGUGUCCGUGGGAUCCCCGCAUCCGGGGAAUCUUCUUCUACAACAAUGCCUACAGCAUCGCGCUCUCUAGGGUGCCAGCAUUCAUCGCCGACAUGAAGCAGCUCCGUAAUAGCAACCCGAAGGCCUUCUGCGGAAUCGACGCCAGUUUGGGUAUUCUCCUCCGCUAUAUCAAGGCAUCCUCUGCCUACCUCGGCAAGCCGGAGGACUCGGUCGACUUUGAUAUAACCUACUACCGGAGCUACACCAAGGGUGAGCCCAACCCACACUCUGACGUGCUCGACGAACUCCAACAGAUGGCGCUACACAAGUAUGGCGCCAUCCCUCACUGGGGCAAGAACCGCAACUUUGCCUUUGAAGGCGCCAUUUCCAAGUACCCCGAGGCUGGCAAGUUCCUAGAGGUAAAGGGCAGGUAUGACCCUGAUGGGAUCUUCUCCAGUGAAUGGAGUGACCAGGUGCUCGGCAUUAAUGGGAGCCCGAUCAUCGUCGAGAAGGGUUGCGCCAUUGAGGGCCUUUGCGUCUGCUCAGAAGACUCGCAUUGUGCACCGGAGCAGGGCUACUACUGCCGCCCUGGGAAGGUGUACAGGGAGGCGAGGGUCUGCUCGUUCCAACCCAAUUGA
rnacentral:rRNA from 1 species